GGCGAGGUAGCUCAGUUGGCUAGAGCAUGCGGUUCAUACCCGCAGUGUCGUGGGUUCGACUCCCUCCCUCGCUA
rnacentral:tRNA from 1 species